ensembl:lncRNA
CCAGCCUCUGGCACCAGCGCGGUGACUCACCCUCCGUCAGGCCCUGCCCAGCGCCGGCCAGAGGGGCGGCGGGGCAAUCACGCGGUCGGCCCCAGCGGGUUAAGCCCCCAUGGAGCUCCGGGGGCCAGGUCACCGCGGAGCCCAGCGGGGCGCUCGCCCGGGACGCCUCAGAGCUCCGUCCAGCGGGAAGUGGGUUCCGCACCCCCGCUCCCCCGGGCCCGACGCGGCCAGAUCCCACGGGAAGGAAGCCCUGUCCCCUUCGCCCCAGACCCUCUGCAGGAGCACCCAGCUUGCACGAGAGUGACUCCCUUCCAGGUGACUUCCAGCUCGCACCCAGAGGAGGGGCUGUUCCCAAUCCAGAGCCGCUCAACUCUGCUGCCGCGCCGGUCGCUGCAUUUCCACUGACCUGAUUGCAACAUCUCCCCGUAGGUGUGGGCCGGGGAGCUGGGAGCGAGCGGCCCGCCCUGCCCUUGGGAGACCCCGGCCCCUCCCCCUCGGCCCUCCGCCUCCUGAACUCCCGAGUCCGGGACCCCCGCUACCGCCCCAAGAUGAACCAAAGAAUUGUUGCUUUCAAAUUGCGGUGCUAGAGAACUCUUGGGAGACCGUUGGACUGCAAGGAGAGCAAACCAGUCAACCCAAAAGGAAAUCAACCCUGAAUAUUCACUGGCAUGCUGCAGUCCAUGGGGUCACAAAGAGUCGGACACGACUGAGCAGCUGAACUGAUUCAUCGAAAGGACUGAGGUUGAAGCUGAAGCUCCAAUACAUUGGCCACCUGAUGCAAAGAACCGAUUCACUGGAAAAGACCCUGUUGCUGGGAAAGAUUGAUGGCCAAAGGAGAAGGGAGUGGCAGAGAAUGAGAUGGUUGGAUAGCAUGACUCAGUGGAAAUGAAUUGGAGCAAACUCCAGGAGAUAGUGAAGGACAGAGGAGCCUGGCACACUGCAAUCCAUGGGGUCACAAAGAGUCAGAUACGACUUCGCCACUGAGCAACAGAUAAGACAUGUGGGGUCUUAGUUCCCCAACC